UGGGGAAUAUUGCACAAUGGGCGCAAGCCUGAUGCAGCCAUGCCGCGUGUGUGAAGAAGGCCUUCGGGUUGUAAAGUACUUUCAGUCGGGAGGAAGGUGGUAAGGUUAAUAACCUUAUCAAUUGACGUUACCGACAGAAGAAGCACCGGCUAACUCCGUGCCAGCAGCCGCGGUAAUACGGAGGGUGCAAGCGUUAAUCGGAAUUACUGGGCGUAAAGCGCACGCAGGCGGUUGAUUGAGUCAGAUGUGAAAUCCCCGGGCUUAACCCGGGAAUUGCAUCUGAUACUGGUCAGCUAGAGUCUUGUAGAGGGGGGUAGAAUUCCAUGUGUAGCGGUGAAAUGCGUAGAGAUGUGGAGGAAUACCGGUGGCGAAGGCGGCCCCCUGGACAAAGACUGACGCUCAGGUGCGAAAGCGGGGGGAGCAAACAGG
rnacentral:rRNA from 1 species